UUACGGCCACAUCAGGUUGAAGCACCAGUUCCCGUACAAUGACCGAAGAUAAGCAAUGUCAAGCCUGGUCAGUACUUAGAUGAGUGACCGCUUGAAAAUACCAGAUGCUGUAAG